rnacentral:lncRNA from 12 species
GAAAAGCACAGGACAGGUGGGACACAUUCUGCUGGAGCAUCUGUGGAUGUGGGAAACCUGAAUAAAACAACCCAAAUCAGGAGCUUCACAGAUGUCAAUGACUCCCAAACCAGCCCAGUGGUGAGAGUGAAGACCUACGAGAAGAUCUCUGUGACCCAAACCUCCUCCAGCUCCACGACAAAGCUAACAGCCCCUGCCCUCAGCAGCUGAGGGUUCUCAGCAGUGCUCCAUGGUGCUUUCUGAACAAGGGACUUCAUGGAGAAUCCC